CUUAAAAUCUAUUUAAAUUCACUCCAUCAAACUCACUUUUAAAAACAAACACAAGCUAAAUGAAAGUGGUUUUUCUCUCGAGUUCCCUUUGUUGAAGAAUGAAGAUCGGGGACAAUAGCACGUGGGAAGAAGUGGAAGAUUGGAAAAAUGCACGUAUAGCAAGGACCGAUUGCUUUUGCUGUGAUUGUCAAGGACUCUUCUAUCCAGCACUGAAUUGUUAUAUUUUGUUGUGGUUUGGUAAGAUGAAAUCUCGAACAUUCCCUGUUUUUCUCCCGCUCAUAUUUCUAAAACCUUAGAUUUAUAUUUCUUCUUUUGGCUUUUGCUGUUAAGGUUUUGUUCUUCUUCGUCAGGUGAUUGUUUGUUUCCAUUUUCCUUUGCCAUUGUUUUGGUUUGAUGGUUGUUCUGGUUGUUUUUUUACAUUUUUCGAUUGGUGGAUAGAAGUUCAGUACAGAAAGAGUACACCCAAAGCCUUCUACAAAUUUCAUUUUGUGCUUUCCAUUUGGCAUUUUCCACAUAUAUUGUGAGAGAAUGUUCUGUUAGGUUUUGAGACCAUGGACUAGACUGUUCACUUCCAACCUCCACCACUACUACGACGACGGAGGACAAUCUUAACCUUCCUGUACCAUUACCACCAUUACCAGACCAUUAUCAGAUCUGAAGAGUGGAGAAUAGCACCUGCUUCUAAUUCUCUCAUGUUUAAGACCUAUGCAAAGUUGAUGGAUUUGGUCCUGAGAUUCUUGCUAAUAGGGACUAUGGUUGUGCAAUGUCUACACUGAUGCACUCUCUGCAGAUAACGUAACGAGUCUAAUGUAUCUUGAUUUUCUUUGAUAUCAAUGUGUGUGUUCGUGUUUAUAAAUUUGAAAAGGGUAAUCUUUGGUGAGGUGGUUCCUGCAUUAAAGCUGGCCUUUUUUGAGAUAACAAAUUACUAAUGUAGUUCAGACUAGGGUGGAGCAAGACAAAUACCACGGGCCGAUAAAGAAUAGUCCUGAAGUGUAUGCACUCUAGAAGGCAAAAACUCCUCUCUCUAAAUGCUCAAGCUCUACCUAAACACAAAGCAUAAUGAUAUAUGCCAAUCAAGUAUACAUUGUAGACUGUUGAAGCAUCAUAAAAUGGGGAUUAUCAAUAAAUCAAUUGGAGUUAUUAAAUAUCCAGAUGUUGUAAAAGGGUUACACGUUGCCUCAAUCAGAGGCCACCAUUCAAGGUUUUAAAGGCAAAAGCUAUACUGACGAAGAGAUUGAAGUCAUACUUAGAAGGAGUAGAAGUGUUGAAAUAUUAUGAAAUCUUAUUGGUAAGUAAAGUAGUCAUUUGUAAAAAAAGAAAAUUAUUGUUAAGAAGAAAAAUAGUAAAAAUUGAGAUUGAUGUUUUAGUUUAAUAAAAGCAACUUACCAUUUUAAU